AUUGAACGCUGGCGGCAUGCCUUACACAUGCAAGUCGAACGGUAACAGGUCUUCGGAUGCUGACGAGUGGCGAACGGGUGAGUAAUACAUAGGAACGUGCCUAGUAGUGGGGGAUAACCACUCGAAAGAGUGGCUAAUACCGCAUGAGAGCUACGGAUGAAAGCAGGGGAUCGCAAGACCUUGUGCUACUAGAGCGGCUGAUGGCAGAUUAGGUAGUUGGUGGGAUAAAAGCUUACCAGGCCGAAGAUCUGUAGUGGGUCUGAGAGGACGACCAGCCGCACUGGGACUGAGACACGGCCCAGACUCCUACGGGAGGCAGCAGUGGGGAAUUUUGGACAAUGGGCGAAAGCCUGAUCCAGCAAUGCCGCGUGCAGGAUGAAGGCCUUCGGGUUGUAAACUGCUUUUGUACGGAACGAAAAGCCCCGGGUUAAUACCCUGGGGUCAUGACGGUACCGUAACAAUAAGCACCGGCUAUCUACGUGCCAGCCGCCGCCGUAA
rnacentral:rRNA from 1 species